AGUCACGCGAGGCUGGCUUGCUGGAACCGGCUAGAAAAUGCAGCCCUGCCUGCUGCAGGGAUCUCCUCCCGUAUGCCCACACAUAUGAGUUCUGGCAAUGCCCAUUAGUGAUAUGGCCGAUAGUUUCUUCUGUCUUGCUUCCAGGAACCUUUUCUUGGUUUGAAGCCACCGAACCAGAAGAGAGAAUUUUUACCACUUUGAGGACUUCUUGUGACGAAUCCAAUGGGAAUUCCAUAAUAUUCAGAAACAAAACAUUUUGAGGGUGGAGUUUUCUUUUUAUUAUCUACCAGACUGAAGGGCACUGCCUGGGGACUUGAUCUAAGAGAAGAAAUGCAUGGACCAUGUCAGAGAAGAUGGAGACACCUUCACGGCCUGUUAGUCACAUCUCACCAAAGCUUCUCAAUGGGCUGUCAGACAAGAA
rnacentral:lncRNA from 1 species